rnacentral:misc_RNA from 1 species
UAAUAUUAUGUUAACAACAAAAAAACUAGAGGUAAAAAAAUUGCCACCAGUACAAAAUUUGCCGUGAAAUCGGCAAGCAAAACGGCGGCCACUGGUCACUACUAGACAUUUGAAAGAGCAACUAGUGGUUCCGAGAAAAAGAAAUCUCCGAUGUCUUGGGAAAAGUCGCCGUCUUGGCACAUGGAUGAUGAUGAAGAUGAUCCGAAUUCUUGGGGUGUGUCCAGGGAUAUGUCGCUGAAAUCUUCACUUGAAACGGUGUUUGUUUUUGUUGUUAUCGCGUCAUCGAAGAGUGAAGGUCCUGUGCUUGAAAAAUUGAAGAAAUCGUCCAAGAAUGGCAAGUCCAGCGGUAAUAGAUACUCUGCUGAUUCAUCGGAUACGUUUGUUUUCUGUUCACACUCUUCUUUAACCCGUUCACUUUUUAUGUUUGAUUUUUCUACCGGUACAACCAGCUUUUGCAGUUCAGAUUCUUCACUGCAGUGAGCUCUGAAGUUCAGCACAGAAGUUGGAGAUGAGAGAUUGUGAGACUCAUUGCUAGAAGCUGAGGUCACAUUAAUUUUUGGCUUGUCUUCUACUUGUUCUGCUUCAGCUUUUUCCUGUUGUUUUUCUCUGCCUGGAGGCGUAAUGAAGUUGGUUAAAGCAUCAGGUCCUCGAAGCUUGAUUGCAGCAUUGUCAUAAACCAUAGCAGCUUCUUCAGCAGUGUUAUAGGUGCCUAGCCAUAGCCGCACACGCCUCGCAGGAUCUCGAAUCUCAGCAGCCCAUUUACCCCACGGCCGUUGUCGGACUCCACGGAACUUUCUGCCAUUGGUAUUUGCUGUAUUGAGUUUGAUUGGCCG